UGCUUAUGGAUGCAUUUGGCUUGCACUGUGCAGUUUCUGUAUUUUAAGCCAGCUCCCUUUUCAGUUCUGCUUUGCAUGGAGCACAGUCAGUCACAUCACAGCUCUUCAGAGAAUGCGGAUACAGCACUUCAACAACUGAGUUGCAGGGCCAGAACUCAAGAAACCAUCCAGUCAAUUGACUGCUGUUCACAGAAGCAUGGAUACGGGAUAUGCAUCCAGAUGAACAUACAUAUAUGGAAUGCUUAAAUCUCCCUUGCUGGACUGGAACAAUUCAUCAGCAAAAAGGAACACAGGUGGCAAAUCCCACAGUUUCUACAUGACAUACCAUAACUUUGCCUAAUAAUUCUGCAGUUGCACUCAGCUGAAUUUAAAAUGAUCUAUCUAAACUGACAUGCACACAAAAACAUAUUGCAGCUGUUUCGGGAAGUCUCAAGCAACCGUAAACAGAACAAUGUAUCAGCACCACACUGAAUCAAUCAGGGUUGUGCAAAGGCCUGCACCAAUGGAAAAACUUGUGGUUUCUUUUCUAAUGCAGUACUCUUCCACUAGAAAAAAUGACUUCAAAAAAGGACUAUCACAGGCAAGUGAAAAGCCAUUGUUAGAUCCUAGCCACAGAAUAUUAAGAGAAUUCGUUAGAUGCACAUAAAAGCGAUAAU